UGGAAUAUAGUGUAAAGUGCACGAGGGUUUUUGGCUCCCUAAGGGGGGAAAGGAGUCCCCUAUUCUAA
rnacentral:tRNA from 1 species